rnacentral:rRNA from 1 species
CCUACGGGAGGCAGCAGUGGGGAAUAUUGGGCAAUGGGCGCAAGCCUGACCCAGCAACGCCGCGUGAAGGAAGAAGGCUUUCGGGUUGUAAACUUCUUUUCUCAGGGACGAAGCAAGUGACGGUACCUGAGGAAUAAGCCACGGCUAACUACGUGCCAGCAGCAGCGGUAAUACGUAGGAUGCGAGCGUUAUCCGGAUUUAUUGGGUUAAAAGGGUGCGUAGGCGGAAUAUCAAGUCAGCGGUAAAAAUUCGGGGCUCAACCCCGCCGUGCCGUUGAAACUGAUGUUCUUGAGUGGGCGAGAAGUAUGCGGAAUGCGUGGUGUAGCGGUGAAAUGCAUAGAUAUCACGCAGAACUCCGAUUGCGAAGGCAGCAUACCGGCGCCCAACUGACGCUGAAGCACGAAAGCGUGGGUAUCGAACAGGAUUAGAUACCCGGGUAGUC